rnacentral:tRNA from 1 species
GGAGUUAGUGAAGUGGUAUCACGUCGGUCUCCAAAACCGAAAGCGCAGGUUCGAUUCCUGCACACUCUG